rnacentral:rRNA from 1 species
UACGUAGGGUGCGAGCGUUAAUCGGAAUUACUGGGCGUAAAGCGUGCGCAGGCGGUUCGUUGUGUCGGCGGUGAAAGCCCCGGGCUCAACCUGGGAAUGGUCGUUGAAACUGGCGAACUGGAGUGUGGCAGAGGGGGGUGGAAUUCCGCGUGUAGCAGUGAAAUGCGUAGAGAUGCGGAGGAACACCGAUGGCGAAGGCAGCCCCCUGGGCUGACACUGACGCUCAGGCACGAAAGCGUGGGGAGCAAACAGG